rnacentral:tRNA from 1 species
GUCGGUAUAGUUUAGUGGUAGAAUCUUACGUUGUGGCCGUAAGUACCUGGGCUCGAUUCCCAGUACCGACA